UACAGAGGUCUCAAGCGUUGUUCGGAUUCAUUGGGCGUAAAGGGUGCGUAGGCGGCGGGGCAAGUCAGGUGUGAAAUCCCGGAGCUCAACUCCGGAACUGCACUUGAUACUGCCUUGCUAGAGUACUGGAGAGGAGACUGGAAUUUACGGUGUAGCAGUGAAAUGCGUAGAUAUCGUAAGGAAGACCAGUGGCGAAGGCGAGUCUCUGGACAGUUACUGACGCUGAGGCACGAAGGCCAGGGGAGCAAACGGG
rnacentral:rRNA from 1 species